AACGAACGCUGGCGGCAUGCCUAACACAUGCAAGUCGAACGAGACCGUCGGGUCUAGUGGCGCACGGGUGCGUAACGCGUGGGAACCUGCCCUUGGGUUCGGAAUAACUCCCCGAAAGGGGUCCUCAUACCGGAUGAUGUCUUCGGACCAAAGAUUUAUCGCCUUUGGAUGGGCCCGCGUUGGAUUAGCGAGUUGGUAGGGUACAAGCCUACCAAGGCGACGAUCCAUAGCUGGUCUGAGAGGAUGAUCAGCCACACUGGGACUGAGACACGGCCCAGACUCCUACGGGAGGCAGCAGUGGGGAAUAUUGGACGAGGGGCGAAAGCCUGAUCCAGCAAUGCCGCGUGAGUGAUGAAGGCCUUAGGGUUGUAAAGCUCUUUUACCCGGGAUGAUAAUGACAGUACCGGGAGAAUAAGCUCCGGCUAACUCCGUG
rnacentral:rRNA from 1 species